rnacentral:tRNA from 1 species
UGGAUCACCUCCUAACAGGGAGAUAACAAAAUGUUUUGAUAUAAAUUUUGUCACCUUAGGUCGAUCGGUAUCUCAGAUUUUCAUAUUUGAAAAUUUCAGUUUCUAAGUUUUUUCUAGGUCACCCAUUUUUUCCUGGGCCAUUAGCUCAGGUGGUUAGAGCGCACCCCUGAUAAGGGUGAGGUCCCUGGUUCAAGUCCAGGAUGGCCCAUAUCUCUAUAUUGGGGGUAUAGCUCAGUUGGUAGAGCGCCUGCUUUGCAAGCAGGAUGUCAGCGGUUCGAGUCCGCUUACCUCCACUGAAUACCACCUUUCCAAAGAGAAGGAAUAUUUGGGAUCGAUUUUAAUCUGAACGAAUCUAGCUUCCUAUUUUUUAAAUUAAUUAAUAAGAUGCUGGACUCAAUGAAUUUUUAAAUUCUUUGUUUUCAGAGAACCUUGACAACUGCAUAGAUUUUUUUUCAAGACAAUAAGCAUCUUUUAAGAUGCAGAUUUAUUAUUGGUGCUUAUGCAUUAAUAACAAUUCUAUUGAGCUGAUGCUUCAAUUUUUUGAAGUUAUUGGUCAAGCUACAAAGGGCUCACGGAGGAUACCUAGGCACACAGAGGCGAUGAAGG